rnacentral:rRNA from 1 species
UACAGAGGUCCCAAGCGUUGUUCGGAUUCACUGGGCGUAAAGGGUGCGUAGGCGGUCGGGUAAGUCUGAUGUGAAAUCUCACAGCUUAACUGUGAAACUGCAUUGGAUACUAUUCGGCUAGAGAGUUGGAGGGGGGACUGGAAUUCUCGAUGUAGCAGUGAAAUGCGUAGAUAUCGAGAGGAACACCAGUGGCGAAGGCGAGUCCCUGGACAACUUCUGACGCUGAGGCACGAAAGCUAGGGGAGCAAACAGG